UUUCGCUCUGCAUGUAUUUCACAUCAGUGUGUGUUGGAGUGUGUGAGUGUGAAUGUUUGUCCAUGACGUCGAAAAAAAUAACACCAGGCAACAGAAGAAGAGUUCUUCUUUUAGUUUCAUUCGAUACCUUACAGGAGAACAACGUUCGUUGUCGUUGGCGGCGCAAAGCCCAAUGCAAAUUCAAUAUGCGGAACGGUUCAACCGAGCGAGUGUGUUGAAUCCAUCAAUAUGUGCGCGUAUUUUGUAAAUUUUUUUCAAUGAAAAAGAUGAAAAUCAAAAAAAGAAUAUAUAUAUAUACCUAUUCAAAUGUAUGUACAUAGACAAACAACCAACCAAACAACAAAAGAAAUAUCUUCAUACGUCCCCCCUUAAACUUUUAUUUUAACAUAAUAACACAAAUGAUAAUAACUUAAAACAUGCAACAAUAAUAGCAAAAAAAAAACAACAGCACGAACAAAUCAAAUAAAAAUGUAAUUUAAAGUAAUAAAACGAAAAAGUGUACCCAUCGAAAUUUUGACAUCAACAUCAAGUAGCAGCAGCAGUAGCAACAUUUACAUUUUACAUGCAUACGCAUACAUAUGUAUGUUUAUGUUCCGCCAACAAAAUCUUUAGUUUUAUUACAUCUUCCUUUUUGAACCAGAACAUCAGCAAAACAAUCACGAAACGAAUUUCCAUUAACAAAAAGAAAUUGUAAAACAAAUAAAAAAACAAAGUGCAAAAAAAUAAAAACCAUAAAAUUGGAUAAAAACAACUUCCACUAACAAGUAUAAAACUCUUAACAACGCCAUCAUCCAUACCAGUCCUUUAAUAAAUGCAGCAGCUUCCCCUUCCAUGCUAAAGUGUGUGAUUAGUGAAAACCACAAUAAUAAAAAAAAAUUAACAAAGAACAAAAAAACAUUGGCGAAAAUAUACACAUCAAACACAGCUGAGCCAAGUGUGUGAGAGUUUAAAUGUGAGAGAAAGAGAGAAAUCGUAAAAUAUGCAAGACUAAAGCAGCAGUGCAAAAGGCAUUUUGCAAAAACACCACAUAUUGUAUUUACUUCGACUUAAGCGCCAGACACAGCGCAGAACAAAAGUAUUUUGUUUUUAUUUUGGUUAUGUUCUUAUCGGUGAGCUUUUGUUUUUGCAUUUUUCUAUGCACCUCAACAAAACAAAAGCAAGCAACGUAAGCGACAACAGAAACUGAAGCAGCGGGCGCAACAGCAGUAACUAACGGCAAAGUCAUAGCCAAUAACAAACAAUCAACCAACCAGACAAAACCAGUCUUUGCCAGCCAAGCAGCCAACACAAACAUCUGUUUCGACCUCUAUAUAACUUUCUUUUUUCGAUUUUAACACUCCACACUGAGAUUUCCAUAAUAAAAAGCCUACUCUCUUGCUAGCCUAACACACCGUGUGUCUCUCACUCUCUUAAAGUGUUGAUGGGUGAGUGUUGUUUGAUUGCUGUUGCCAAUGGUAUAUGCUCCAGCUCUUCAACCCUCCUCCAAUAAAAAAUCUUGAAAAGCAAAACAAAAUUGAAAAUAAACAGACAUAAAAACAACGAUGACAUGCCCCCCUUCGAAGGCAUGUUUGAGUAGAAAAAGCCUUUGGGAGAGCAACUGUUAAUGUUUGUAUGUGUUGGUUGUCAGUGCAAAACGAAAAAAAAGAGAUAGGGGAGCACCAAAACAAACCAUAAAGUGAAAAAUAAACUACUCGCGGCAAAAACGGUGUUGACAACAAUCAAAACAUCAUCACCAGCUGCAGCAGCGUCACUGAGAGAUAAAGAAACACUCGCAAAAAAACGCAAUUGCAGUCUAUUCGCCAUAUCAAUUGUCAAUUCGUCCAUCAAGCAUAUAUACAAGUCCGAAGAUUUGAAGUAUGCUUAAAAAUAUCUCCCACUCAUCGCAUUAAAAAAUCAACACUUGGGUUGUGUGGUGUGUUGUGCUGCCGACCCUCAUGCCAUGUAGGUUUUGCUAUGAGUGAGAGCUAGGUUAUCGAGAACCACACUAAUUGCAGAAUUCUUGUCCACUCAAAAAAAGAAGACGACAGACAACAAGUCAAGCCAGUGAAGAAACCGAAUUAAGCAACGAUUAAAAAAAAAUAAAUAAACAAAACUAAAUGCACUUUAUAGUACCAUUCUCAACGUCGACGUCAUCAUCAUCCUCAUUCUCAUAUUUACCAACAAUAACAGCCAUUAAAAGAGCACUGCCACCAGCAGCAGCUGUAGCAUAAAAACUGCAGCAAGCAACAACAACAACAACAUCUGCAAUUGCAACAGUUUUCUAAAGAAUUCAAAACAAAAAGUAAUCACUCGGUAAUUCUCACACGUUCACCAGUCCACCCCUUCACCCAUCAUCAUUCCCCCCUUUUAUAGCAACAACCGGCACAGACUAUGUGUAGACCCCAAUCUUAACAAAAAAAAAAAAACAACCAAAAGCAACAACACCAAUAAAAGUCACACAGACACUAAUAAAAAGAACAAACGACGAAUGUAUUUAGCUAGCCAACAAAAACAACAAAA
rnacentral:sRNA from 1 species